AGAGAGCUCAGUCUGUACAUACAGAGAGAGAGAGCUCAGUCUAUACAUACAGAGGGAGAGCUCAGUCUGUACAUACAGAGAGAGAGAGAGCUCAGUCUGUACAUACAGAGAGAGGGAGAGAGCUCAGUCUGUACAUACAGAGACAGAGCUCAGUCUGUACAUACAGAGAGAGAGAGCUCAGUCUAUACAUACAGAGGGAGAGAGCACAGUCUGUACAUACAGAGAGAGGGAGAGAGAGCUCAGUCUGUACAUACAGAGGGAGAGAGCCCAGUCUGUACAUACAGAGGGAGAGAGAGAGAGCCCAGUCUGUACAUAC